ACCCCUACGGGGGGCAGCAGUGGGGAAUAUUGCACAAUGGGCGAAAGCCUGAUGCAGCAACGCCGCGUGAACGAUGAAGGCCUUCGGGUUGUAAAGUUCUUUUCUUGAAGAAGAAUCCAUGACGGUAUUCAAGGAAUAAGCCCCGGCUAACUACGUGCCAGCAGCCGCGGUAA
rnacentral:rRNA from 1 species